rnacentral:rRNA from 1 species
UUUCCUACGGGGGGCAGCAGUGAGGAAUAUUGGUCAAUGGGCGGGAGCCUGAACCAGCCAAGCCGCGUGAAGCAAGAAGGCGCCAGGCGUCGUAAACUUCUUUUGUCGGGGAACAAAGGGCGCCACGCGUGGCGUUGUGAGUGUACCCGAAGAAAAAGCAUCGGCUAACUCCGUGCCAGCAGCCGCGGUAAUACGGAGGAUGCGAGCGUUAUCCGGAUUUACUGGGUGUAAAGGGCGUGUAGGCGGGACUGCAAGUCAGAUGUGAAACCCAUGGGCUCAACCCAUGGCCUGCAUUUGAAACUGUU